rnacentral:rRNA from 1 species
UACGUAGGGGGCGAGCGUUGUCCGGAAUUAUUGGGCGUAAAGAGCUCGUAGGCGGCUUAGCAAGUCGGGUGUGAAAACUUCAGGCUCAACCUGGAGAUGCCACUCGAUACUGCUAUAGCUAGAGUCCGGUAGGGGAUCACGGAAUUCCUGGUGUAGCGGUGAAAUGCGCAGAUAUCAGGAGGAACACCGGUGGCGAAGGCGGUGGUCUGGGCCGGAACUGACGCUGAGGAGCGAAAGCGUGGGUAGCAAACAGG